UCCCUAGUGGCUCAGACGGUAAAGCGUCUGUCUACAAUGCAGGAGACCCGGGUUCGAGCCCUGGCUUGGGAA